CAUGUAAUAAAUGUCACAUAUAUAUACUUUAUAUAUGUGUGUGUGUGUGUGUGUGUGUGUGUGUGUAUAUAUAUAUAUAUAUAUAUAUACUAUAUAUAUAU
rnacentral:miRNA from 1 species